rnacentral:snRNA from 1 species
GUGCUCACUUUGACAGCACAUAUACUAAAAUUGGAAUAAUACAGAGAAGGUUAGCAUGGCCCUCGUGCAAAGAUGGCACACUCAUUUGUGAAGUCUUCAAUAUUUUU